AGGAGCAUGGUGUAGUGGUUUGAACAUUGGACUAUGGCUUUGGAGACCAGGGUUUGAAUCCCUGCUCAGCUA